rnacentral:rRNA from 2 species
GGAUCUUCCGCAAUGGACGAAAGUCUGACGGAGCAACGCCGCGUGAGUGAUGAAGGUUUUCGGAUCGUAAAGCUCUGUUGUUAGGGAAGAACAAGUGCCGUUCAAAUAGGGCGGCACCUUGACGGUACCUAACCAGAAAGCCACGGCUAACUACGUGCCAGCAGCCGCGGUAAUACGUAGGUGGCAAGCGUUGUCCGGAAUUAUUGGGCGUAAAGGGCUCGCAGGCGGUUUCUUAAGUCUGAUGUGAAAGCCCCCGGCUCAACCGGGGAGGGUCAUUGGAAACUGGGGAACUUGAGUGCAGAAGAGGAGAGUGGAAUUCCACGUGUAGCGGUGAAAUGCGUAGAGAUGUGGAGGAACACCAGUGGCGAAGGCGACUCUCUGGUCUGUAACUGACGCUGAGGAGCGAAAGCGUGGGGAGCGAACAGGAUUAGAUACCCUGGUAGUCCACGCCGUAAACGAUGAGUGCUAAGUGUUAGGGGGUUUCCGCCCCUUAGUGCUGCAGCUAACGCAUUAAGCACUCCGCCUGGGGAGUACGGUCGCAAGACUGAAACUCAAAGGAAUUGACGGGGGCCCGCACAAGCGGUGGAGCAUGUGGUUUAAUUCGAAGCAACGCGAAGAACCUUACCAGGUCUUGACAUCCUCUGACAAUCCUAGAGAUAGGACGUCCCCUUCGGGGGCAGAGUGACAGGUGGUGCAUGGUUGUCGUCAGCUCGUGUCGUGAGAUGUUGGGUUAAGUCCCGCAACGAGCGCAACCCUUGAUCUUAGUUGCCAGCAUUCAGUUGGGCACUCUAAGGUGACUGCCGGUGACAAACCGGAGGAAGGUGGGGAUGACGUCAAAUCAUCAUGCCCCUUAUGACCUGGGCUACACACGUGCUACAAUGGGCAGAACAAAGGGCAGCGAAACCGCGAGGUUAAGCCAAUCCCACAAAUCUGUUCUCAGUUCGGAUCGCAGUCUGCAACUCGACUGCGUGAAGCUGGAAUCGCUAGUAAUCGCGGAUCAGCAU